rnacentral:rRNA from 1 species
AGCGAACGCUGGCGGUAGGCCUAACACAUGCAAGUCGAACGGCAGCACAGUAAGAGCUUGCUCUCACGGGUGGCGAGUGGCGGACGGGGGAGGAAUACACCGGAAUCCACCUUUUCGUGGGGGAUAACGUAGGGAAACUUACGCUAACACCGCAUACGACCUACGGGGGAAAGCAGGGGAUCUUCUGACCUUGCGCGAGUGAAUGAGCCGAUGUCGGAUUAGCUAGUUGGCGGGGUAAAGGCCCACCAAGGCGACGAUCCGUAGCUGGUUUGAGAGGAUGAUCAGCCACACUGGAACUGGAGCACGGUCCGCACUCCUGCGGCAGGGACCCGUGCCGGAUAUUUGACGAUGGCCGCAGGCCUGAUCCAGCCAUACCGCGUGGAUGCCGGAGGCCUUCGUGUUGUGUAGCCCUUUUGUUGCUAAGGGUUAGCAGCCGGUUAAUCCCCCGAUGUUAUGACGGUACCCGAAGGAUAAGCACCGGCUAACUUCGUG